UGUUCUGAGAGUGGCGCUGACCAAGCAGCUAUUUUUGUAUUUAGUCCUAAUAAGACCAUACUGCUAUGAGCAGGAUAUCAAGUAUCACAUUUUUAUUGAGCAUAUUAACCCUCUUUAUAACAUGUGGAUCAACUUCAAAAUACUUCCUUGCCCUAUCAUAUCAUUUUAAAUUCAGACUACAUCAUUUGAUCCCUUGUUGAUCACAAAUUAAGUGCAACACUACUUGAAGAAAAGUGAUUGUGUGAUAUAUGGUAGGGAAAAAAAAACUUUUGACAAAUUACUUUUUUAGCAAGCCUAUAAUGCACUAAAGGGAGGCUGCCAUUCAUAAUACCUGAUGCCAGGUAAAUCAUUGCUGCUACAUUUACAUAGUCCUUUCUUAGUACCCCCUUCUUCUUUUUCCAACUCAUCAUUUCCAGACACCCAGAGAUAAUAUCUUUUUACCGGGGUGAGUGGGACACAUUUUUUAUGUCUAAAUAAGUGAACACCAUUAUAAGGGGAGGACGGGUGUAUUGUAGUUCUUUGCAGUGUAUCAAUUUAUAAAGGUGUUCUUUCUGUAUAUCUUUCCUUCAGUGCGGACUGCUACAAGAUAACUGUCAUUAAGUGUCAUGAAACUCAACCUGUGAGCCUCACUGGUUAAACAAGGAAGUUGUCUAUCAAUUCUGCGUCAAGCAUACUAAUAAAAUGUAACUUUCACGUACCACUCUGAAUAAUGUAAUGACACUAAGGGGGUCUGAUGUAAACCAAUGUAAACAGAUGAUGUUAGUGUCCAUUCUUGUAUAGUCUUAAUUGUCCCAUUCCUGAUGUUCUGUUUGUCGUUGGGGAAUUCUGGGGUGUCAUGGCAAACAGAGGACAUGGAGGAGGCUGGACCCAAGUGCAGGAGCAUUUAUUCAAAACGGAAGGACUAGGCUGGUUCUUGUGGUCGGAGACUGGCGAAUGGUCGGUCGAUUGGAAAACAGGCCUGGAGCGAGUAUCCAACAUCAGAGUCGAGGGACGAAGCGAGCAGUCAUGACCAGGGAGACGUGGAGCUGGGCUAGGGAGCAAAGAGAAGCAGGACAUGGGACAAGUUCCCACUCCUCACUUGGAUGCAAAGUGAUGGUCGGCGCUACAGCUGGUCACACACCAUUCAAGUUUGUAUAAUCACUUCAUAGAAGAAAUGCCCGUGAGUGGCCAAUACCUCAGAGGUCAGCAGCAUGCGGAAAGAUCUGGUCUCCACUGCUGCCUCCAUCCGCCGUCCGUACCCUCACACUGACGUCUUCUGCCUGCCUGGCCUUUCUGGG